rnacentral:rRNA from 1 species
GACGAACGCUGGCGGCGUGCUUAACACAUGCAAGUCGAACGGAAAGGCCCUGCUUUUGUGGGGUGCUCGAGUGGCGAACGGGUGAGUAACACGUGAGUAACCUGCCCUUGACUUUGGGAUAACUUCAGGAAACUGGGGCUAAUACCGGAUAGGAGCUCCUGCUGCAUGGUGGGGGUUGGAAAGUUUCGGCGGUUGGGGAUGGACUCGCGGCUUAUCAGCUUGUUGGUGGGGUAGUGGCUUACCAAGGCUUUGACGGGUAGCCGGCCUGAGAGGGUGACCGGCCACAUUGGGACUGAGAUACGGCCCAGACUCCUACGGGAGGCAGCAGUGGGGAAUAUUGCACAAUGGGCGGAAGCCUGAUGCAGCAACGCCGCGUGCGGGAUGACGGCCUUCGGGUUGUAAACCGCUUUCGCCUGUGACGAAGCGUGAGUGACGGUAAUGGGUAAAGAAGCACCGGCUAACUACGUGCCAGCAGCCGCGGUGAUACGUAGGGUGCGAGCGUUGUCCGGAUUUAUUGGGCGUAAAGGGCUCGUAGGUGGUUGAUCGCGUCGGAAGUGUAAUCUUGGGGCUUAACCCUGAGCGUGCUUUCGAUACGGGUUGACUUGAGGAAGGUAGGGGAGAAUGGAAUUCCUGGUGGAGCGGUGGAAUGCGCAGAUAUCAGGAGGAACACCAGUGGCGAAGGCGGUUCUCUGGGCCUUUCCUGACGCUGAGGAGCGAAAGCGUGGGGAGCGAACAGGCUUAGAUACCCUGGUAGUCCACGCUGUAAACGGUGGGUACUAGGUGUGGGGUCCAUUCCACGGGUUCCGUGCCGUAGCUAACGCUUUAAGUACCCCGCCUGGGGAGUACGGCCGCAAGGCUAAAACUCAAAGGAAUUGACGGGGCCCCGCACAAGCGGCGGAGCAUGCGGAUUAAUUCGAUGCAACGCGUAGAACCUUACCUGGGUUUGACAUGGAUCGGGAGUGCUCAGAGAUGGGUGUGCCUCUUUUGGGGUCGGUUCACAGGUGGUGCAUGCCUGUCGUCAGCUCGUGUCGUGAGAUGUUGGGUUAAGUCCCGCAACGAGCGCAACCCUUGUUCACUGUUGCCAGCACGUUAUGGUGGGGACUCAGUGGAGACCGCCGGGGUCAACUCGGAGGAAGGUGGGGAUGACGUCAAGCCAUCAUGCCCCCUAUGUCCAGGGCUUCACGCAUGCUACAAUGGCUGGUACAGAGAGUGGCGAGCCUGUGAGGGUGAGCGAAUCUCGGAAAGCCGGUCUCAGUUCGGAUUGGGGUCUGCAACUCGACCUCAUGAAGUCGGAGUCGCUAGUAAUCGCAAAUCAGCAACGCUGCGGUGAAUACGUUCCCGGG